rnacentral:tRNA from 1 species
UAAUAAAAUGCCUGAAUAAAGGAUUACUUUGAUAGAGUAAAUUAUGUAUUAAUUUUACUUUUAUUAU